GUGGGGAAUUUUGGACAAUGGGCGCAAGCCUGAUCCAGCAAUGCCGCGUGCAGGAAGAAGGCCUUCGGGUUGUAAACUGCUUUUGUACGGAACGAAACGGUCCGGGUUAAUACCCUGGGCUAAUGACGGUACCGUAAGAAUAAGCACCGGCUAACUACGUGCCAGCAGCCGCGGUAAUACGUAGGGUGCAAGCGUUAAUCGGAAUUACUGGGCGUAAAGCGUGCGCAGGCGGUUUUGUAAGACAGGCGUGAAAUCCCCGGGCUCAACCUGGGAAUUGCGCUUGUGACUGCAAGGCUGGAGUGCGGCAGAGGGGGAUGGAAUUCCGCGUGUAGCAGUGAAAUGCGUAGAUAUGCGGAGGAACACCGAUGGCGAAGGCAAUCCCCUGGACCUGUACUGACGCUCAUGCACGAAAGCGUGGGGAGCAAACAGGAUUAGAUACCCGGGUAGUCC
rnacentral:rRNA from 1 species